GUCUGUGGCCAGACCACCCUGAACACUCCUGAUCUCAUCUGAUCUCAGAAGCUAAGCAGGUCAGGCCUUUUUAGUACUUGAAUGGGAAAAAGAAGGUGGUUUAUGAGAGGAAAUUCUCAUCACAGGUA
ensembl:rRNA 5S_rRNA 5S ribosomal RNA